rnacentral:rRNA from 1 species
CCUACGGGGGGCAGCAGUGGGGAAUAUUGCGCAAUUGGCGAAAGCCUGACGCAGCGACGCCGCGUGAGGGAUGAAGGUCUUCGGAUCGUAAACCUCUGUCAGCAGGGAAGAACGGUCACUGUGCUAAUCAGCAGUGAAUUGACGGUACCGGCAAAGGAAGCACCGGCUAACUCCGUGCCAGCAGCCGCGGUAAUACGGAGGGUGCGAGCGUUAAUCGGAAUUACUGGGCGUAAAGCGCUCGUAGGCGGUAGGUCGAGUCAAGGGUGAAAUCCCCGGGCUCAACGUGGGAACUGCCUUUGAAACUGGCAAGCUAGAGUGUGUGAGAGGGUAGUGGAAUUCCAGGUGUAGGGGUGAAAUCCGUAGAUAUCUGGAGGAACAUCAGUGGCGAAGGCGACUAUCUGGCCCAUGACUGACGCUGAGGUGCGAAAGCGUGGGUAGCAAACAGGAUUAGAUACCCUAGUAGUC